UCUCCUGUGGCUCAGUUGGUAGAGCAUGGUGUUUGCAGCGCUUGGGUUGUGGGUUCGAUUCCCACGGGGGAC
rnacentral:tRNA from 1 species